UACGUAGGGUGCAAGCGUUAAUCGGAAUUACUGGGCGUAAAGCGUGCGCAGGCGGUUUUGUAAGUCUGUCGUGAAAUCCCCGGGCUCAACCUGGGAAUUGCGAUGGAGACUGCAAGGCUUGAAUCUGGCAGAGGGGGGGUAGAAUUCCACGUGUAGCAGUGAAAUGCGUAGAGAUGUGGAGGAACACCGAUGGCGGAAGGCAGCCCCCCUGG
rnacentral:rRNA from 1 species